ensembl:lncRNA
CUCGGCCCCGGGGGUGGGUCAAGGAUCCUCAGACCCCACUCACCGGCUGGAAGGCGCAGGAGGGUGGGGCUUUGGCGGAUUGAUUGGCAUUUCCUCCCCAUCUCUUCCCUCCUGACCUCCCGAUAGGGUUUCUCCCUGGAUGGUUGACAGGAUGGGACGGAAGCCUCUUGCUGCUGGCACCUCCCAGGAGCAGCAGGCCUCAGAGCUUCUCCACGCAGGCCUCCCACGGUGUUGGAGCAACAGGGGGCCCGGCAGCUGGCCUCCUCACCCUGCUCCACAGAGAGCCAUGUGACGGCCCCGGCUCUGAGAUCAAGACCUCCUGCUCUUAAGAAAACAGAUCAGAGACGUUGGCAUCAAAAUAAAAUAUGUUCAGAGGAAGCAAGUAACCCUGUGAGUAAAACACAGGCCACAGGAUUGAAGCAAAAGGUCUGAGCAGAACCCGGAGCUACAGUGACCAUGAGUUCAAGUUCAUCCUCCCUGGACUCGUCCUUUUGUUUGGAGCACAGCCAAGGAUCUCGCUCUGCCUCUGCACUAGCUGCCUCGUCAAUCCAGCAAAGGUGUAUCCACGCACCGGCAGCGUCAGCAUCGCCUGGGAGCUCGUGAGAAAUGCAGACUCUCGGGCUCCACCCCAGACCUGCUGGAUCGGACUCUGCGUUUGACAGAAUCUCCAGGGGAUUCUUGUAUACACCCAAGUCUGAGGAGUACAAGUCUAUCCCGCAGAUGCCCCACCAAACUGGGCACGUUAUCAGAAUCCUCUAUAAAGCUUAAAAAAUUCCUAGACCUCAUCCCCAAUUCACCGAAUCAAAAUCACCAUGGGUGGCCCAGGGAUUGGUACUCUGCUCUAAUAUUUUAUUUGAAAAUUUUCAGACAUAUAGAAAUGCUGUACCCAGGUACCUACAUCCUAGAUUCUAGGAUUGUCAGAAUUUUACUAUUUGAUUCAUCGCAUAUCUAUGCAUUAUUCCAUCCGUCAACCCAUCUCAGACAUCAAGAGCCGUCAUCCCUGAACACGUCAGUAUGUACAUCAUUAAUUUUUAACAAGAUCUCCAGUUGAUUCCUGUGCUGUGACCCCAGUAUCCAACCUUGAACCUUCUGGAACUGUUCAUCAAAUACCAGUCUUUUUCUCUGUCCACAGGGAACAGUACUUGGGACUUGGUAAAAAUCCUUCCUCUCCCUCCAAUUUUGUAAAAGGUGAUGCUACAGAUUCUCUCAGUGCUGUGACUUUCAGCAUUAGGAGAUGGUUUCUGGUGUUUGACCUAAUUCCACGUCGCUCCAUUAAUCUCAUCUCCUCUUUCUCUUGGUAGGGCAUUAGACAGCGGCCACUCCUGACUGCCUCUUCUGCAGGCCUUGUGUUUAAACGAUGUUAUUAACAGAUGCUGCCAUGUCUCCAAAACCUUCCUGGUGUUUUCCCUCCAAAAACUAUCUCCUGGCAAAAUGUUCUAGUUUUUCAGCAUUCCAUCUGUGGAGACUAACGAUGAGUCUUCUGUUGUGCUUUCCGAUUCUGUAGUCAAGAAUCUUGGGAAGGACCUUGGGGACAACAGGCUAUGUUGCCAUGGCUUCUGGGUUUUGGAAUUCCAUGGACCAGCGAGCAGCGAUUUCACCUACACCUCUGGUUUUCC